rnacentral:rRNA from 1 species
CCUACGGGAGGCAGCAGUGAGGAAUAUUGGUCAAUGGACGGAAGUCUGAACCAGCCAUGCCGCGUGCGGGAAGACGGCUCUAUGAGUUGUAAACUGCUUUUGUACAAGGGUAAACCUGAAUACGUGUAUUCAGCUGAAAGUACUGUACGAAUAAGGAUCGGCUAACUCCGUGCCAGCAGCCGCGGUAAUACGGAGGAUCCAAGCGUUAUCCGGAUUUAUUGGGUUUAAAGGGUGCGUAGGCGGAUUGAUAAGUUAGCGGUGAAAUGUCCGAGCUUAACUCGGGAACUGCCUCUAAUACUGUUGAUCUAGAGAGUAGAUGCGGUAGGCGGAAUGUAUGGUGUAGCUGUGAAAUGCUUAGAGAUCAUACAGAACACCGAUUGCGAAGGCAGCUUACCAAUCUAUAUCUGACGUUGAGGCACGAAAGCGUGGGGAGCAAACAGGAUUAGAUACCCCAGUAGUC